GAUGAACGCUGGCGGCGUGCCUAAUACAUGCAAGUCGGGCGAACAGACGAGGAGCUUGCUCCUCUGACGUUAGCGGCAGACGGGUGAGUAACACGUGGAUAACCUACCUAUAAGACUGGGAUAACUUCGGGAAACCGGAGCUAAUACCGGAUAAUAUAUUGAACCGCAUGGUUCAAUAGUGAAAGACGGUUUUGCUGUCACUUAUAGAUGGAUCCGCGCCGCAUUAGCUAGUUGGUAAGGUAACGGCUUACCAAGGCAACGAUGCGUAGCCGACCUGAGAGGGUGAUCGGCCACACUGGAACUGAGACACGGUCCAGACUCCUACGGGAGGCAGCAGUAGGGAAUCUUCCGCAAUGGGCGAAAGCUUGACGGAGCAACGCCGCGUGAGUGAUGAAGGUCUUCGGAUCGUAAAACUCUGUUAUUAGGGAAGAACAAAUGUGUAAGUAACUAUGCACGUCUUGACGGUACCGAAUCAGAAAGCCCCGGCUAACUACGUG
rnacentral:rRNA from 1 species